rnacentral:rRNA from 1 species
GAUGAACGCUGGCGGCGUGCCUAAUACAUGCAAGUCGAGCGAACGGACGAGAAGCUUGCUUCUCUGAUGUUAGCGGCGGACGGGUGAGUAACACGUGUAUAACCUACCUAUCAGACUGGGAUAACUUCGGGAAACCGGCGCUAAUACCGGAUGAUAUUUUGAACCGCAUGGUUCAAAAGUGAAAGACGGUCUUGCUGUCACUUAUAGAUGGAUCCGCGCUGCAUUAGCUAGUUGGUAAGGUAACGGCUUAUCAAGGCAACGAUGCGUAGCCGAACUGAGAGGGUGAUAGGCCACACGGGAACUGAGACACGGUCCAGACGCCUACGGGAGGCAGCAGUAGGGAAUCGUCCGCAAUGGGCGAAAGCCUUACGGAGCAACGCCGCGCGAGUGAUAAAGGCCUUCGGAUCGUAAAACUCUGUUAUUAGGGAAGAACAGAUGUGUAAGUAACUGUACACAUCGUGACGGUACCUAAUCAGAAAGCAACGGCUAACUACGUG